AGAAAAAACUUGGAGUAAAGCAGGGCUGCUAACUUUGCUUUGGGUGGUUCGAUUUCAUCCUUUUUCUU
rnacentral:tRNA from 1 species